rnacentral:rRNA from 1 species
AUGGCCUCCCUCAUAAUGCUUGUUUCCUGGAUGGUUUGGAAUGAGCAAAAUGCUCGGGUCUUUCGCCACAAAAGCGUGCUGCCUACAAUCAUGCUCAACGUGAUUGUCGAGGAGAUGAAACUUUAGAUAACCGCGGGUGCAAAGAAACUAGGGGUUUUGAUGUUGGGAGAGUAA